rnacentral:rRNA from 1 species
AAGGGCGACUGAAGCGUCAAUAGUUUACCAUGUGAAUCUGCAGUGUUGAAUUGUGGUCUGGAGAUUCUUGCAUUUGGGCUAAGUCCCUUGGAAUGGGGCAGCUAAGAGGGUGAGACUCCUGUCUGCCUGGCUUGAUCAUAGAGUCGAGUUGUUUGGGAUUUCAGCUCUAAGGGGGUGGUAAAUUCCAUCAAAAACUAAAUAUUGGUGGAAGACCGAUAGCGAACAAGUACCGUGAGGGAAAGAUGCAAAGAACUUUGAAAAGAGAGUUAAAGAGUACCUGAAAUUGCUGAAAAGGAAGCAAAGGAAAUCAGUGAUGUUGAGCCAUAUUUCCCUGUUCGCUUGCGGUUGGGGCGCUGUGGCCAGCAUGGUCCACAUUGAU